rnacentral:rRNA from 1 species
CCUACGGGAGGCUGCAGUGGGGGAUAUUGCACAAUGGGGGGAACCCUGAUGCAGCGACGCCGCGUGGGUGAAGGAGCGUUUCGGCGCGUAAAGCCCUAUCGGCAGGGAAGAAGAUGACGGUACCUGUCCACGUAGCCCCGGCUAACUACGGGCCAGCAGCCGCGGUAAUACAGAGGGGGCAAGCGGUAUGCGGAUUUACUGGGUGUAAAGGGGGCGCAGACGGCAAUGCAAGCCGGGAGUGAAGGCCCCGGGCCCAACCCCGGGACUGCUCUUGGAACUGGAUGGCUGGAGUACAGGAGGGGCAGGCGGAAUUCCUAGUGUAGCGGUGAAAUGCGUAGAGAUUAGGAGGAACACCGGUGGCGAAGGCGGCCUGCUGGACUGUGACUGACGUUGAGGCCCGAAGGCGUGGGGAGCAAACAGGAUUAGAUACCCGGGUAGUC